UACGUAGGGUGCAAGCGUUAAUCGGAAUUACUGGGCGUAAAGCGUGCGCAGGCGGUUGUGCAAGACAGAUGUGAAAUCCCCGGGCUUAACCUGGGAACUGCAUUUGUGACUGCACGGCUGGAGUGCGGCAGAGGGGGAUGGAAUUCCGCGUGUAGCAGUGAAAUGCGUAGAGAUGUGGAGGAACACCGAUGGCGAAGGCAGCCCCCUGGGUCAAAACUGACGCUCAUGCACGAAAGCGUGGGGAGCAAACAGG
rnacentral:rRNA from 1 species